ensembl:lncRNA
GGUAAAUGAGGCCGGUGCCCUCUGGAGGUGUUUGGCUAAUUGAUAACUUGCCCUGGAGUGUGUGGUUACUGGUAACACAGAGGUUUCAUGUAUCAGGACUGGAGGGUUCCUAGUGAACACUGAAGGCUGGAGGGGGUCGGGGAACAGGGGAGCAAGAACACCAAACAGGGCGGGGUACUGUUGGAGGAGAGGGGUAGCUGCCAGGUCCCUGUGGUGCGCUGAUAAGCCAGGCUGCUGGGUUGGCACCGCGGGGACACACCGCAGAUUGAUACGCUGCUCAUUUAUCAGCUUAUUCUAAUCCACGGCUCCUCCACACGGACAAGAGACGCCGUACCCAGACCUCCGCUAGACGGACCAAGCUGUCAGCAUGGGGACAGUGACGAUGAUGAUGAUGAAGGUGGGGGCGAGGGUGAUAUGAGGGCGGAUGCUGAUGAUGAUUUUGGCGGUCAGGACGUUCACCGAUACGACGUGAGAUCAUGAGGGAGGGACAUGGAUGAUGAUGGUGAUGAUGCCGGUACACAUACAAACAUGAACCAAAAGAGUUGACGACCGCGUAGAUGACGAAGACGACGAUGAGGAUAAUGAAGAUGAAGGUGGCUCGUCCAUUCCUCGGGGUCAGAGGUCGGGCCGGUCUCAGAGAGAGGCUGUCACUGCGAGUCAAAACAUUUGAUGGCCAUCCGUGCGUGAUGAGGCCGCUGUUACUGGGGAGGAGAGGAAGACGAGGGGGGGGACCGAGAGGAAGAUGAAGAUGAAGAGCGAGAGAAAGGCUGGUGAUACAGAGCAGCCUCCUGAUUAAUUGAAGUAAAGCGCUCCUUCCCAUCUGCAGAUGGGGCUGGGAACUCGCUGCUCACCACCUGGUCUGGAGUCAGGGCCCAACUGCUGCUGGGCUGCUGCUGCCGUGACAAUGAGGCUGACCCGCUUUUACAUGUAUUCUGACGUGAGGGAUGCUUGUCCCAGUUUGUCAGUUCAGCUCUGGUUAAAAUAUGAAGCUCUGGUUUAUUGUUGUGGUGCUUUUUGUGAAAGGUUUCCCCCAAAUGAUUGUAUAGUAGAAAUGUAUUACAUUUUCAUUGAUGAAAUGACCUGGGUCAGUUUGCAAAUGGAGCACUUUUUUUGUUGAUGAACCAGAUUAAUGUUUUGUACUCUGGCUUGUUAGUAUAGCAGAAACCUCAGCGCAGGAAAAA